ACUAAUCACACACUCUUGAGCAACUUUUUCUAUCACACUGAAUUUAACUUUUUUUUCCGAACACCAGUUGAGGACUUUGUCAAUUUAUAUAUUCUAAAAGACGAAGAAAAAAACAGAUCAGAAAUGCGAAUGGCACGGUACUGGCGGCCAUUAUGACAAAACUUAUUUUGCUCCGAUUCUAUUUUUGUCCUUUUUGCACUGCAGUCAUUUGAUUCGAGCCGAGAAACGUUGCACUAGUAUCAAAGUGAUUAAGAGGUAGUGUGCGCUAGUGUGUGUGAGCGAGUGUGUGGUAGUUUGUUUUAUAAUGUAAGUGAACGUUGUUGAAUGGAAGAGAGAGAGAUGAGCUAGAAUACUCAUACACACCGGGCAAAAGGUGACGUUUCACCCAUUUGACCAAAUAAAAUAUAAUUAUCAAUUUUAGUGAAAAUCAGUCUCAUUUCGUCGGAAAAUAAUGAGAAUUUCGGCUCUAAUACAAUACAAAAUUAAUGAUAUUUUACUGAACUUACGUUGCUAUUGACAGCGUCAAGUUAAUGGUCCUCUUUCCAGUUAAUUUACUUCAGGAAUUUUCUGUGUUUAUUUAUGUACACUAACGAGAACUGAUCAACCAACGGCUUGUCUCUAAACAAUUUUGCUAUUAAUGAUUAGAUCACCUUCUCAAGGUGCAAUGUCCAGGAUAAUAUGUGUUGAAGAUUUCAGUUUUUACAUAAAAUUCGACA